GCUGUACAUGAUGACAACUGGCUCCCUCUACUGAAUUGUUGUGAGGAAACUGCCAGUGUCACCCUAUCUGACUACGGC